rnacentral:rRNA from 1 species
GAUGAACGCUGGCGGCGUGCCUAAUACAUGCAAGUCGAGCGAACAGACGAGGAGCUUGCUCCUCUGACGUUAGCGGCGGACGGGUGAGUAACACGUGGAUAACCUACCUAUAAGACUGGGAUAACUUCGGGAAACCGGAGCUAAUACCGGAUAAUAUAUUGAACCGCAUGGUUCAAUAGUGAAAGACGGUUUUGCUGUCACUUAUAGAUGGAUCCGCGCCGCAUUAGCUAGUUGGUAAGGUAACGGCUUACCAAGGCAACGAUGCGUAGCCGACCUGAGAGGGUGAUCGGCCACACUGGAACUGAGACACGGUCCAGACUCCUACGGGAGGCAGAGUAGGGAAUCUUCCGCAAUGGGCGAAAGCCUGACGGAGCAACGCCGCGUGAGUGAUGAAGGUCUUCGGAUCGUAAAACUCUGUUAUUAGGGAAGAACAAAUGUGUAAGUAACUAUGCACGUCUUGACGGUACCUAAUCAGAAAGCCACGGCUAACUACGUG